rnacentral:rRNA from 1 species
AUUCCAGCUCCAAUAGCGUAUAUUUAAGUUGUUGCGGUUAAAAAGCUCGUAGUUGGAUUUCGGGCGUGGAGGUUCGGUCCGCCGUUUCGGUGUGCACUGUCUUUCUGCGUCUUUCUGUCGGGGACGCGCUUCUGGCCUUAAUUGGCUGGGACGUGGAUUCGACGAGGUUACUUUGAAAAAAUUAGAGUGUUCAAAGCAAGCUAAAGCUCUGAAUACAUUAGCAUGGAAUAACGCGAGAGGACUCGGUCCUUAUUUUGUUGGUCUUCAAGGAUGGAGUAACGAUUAACAGGGACAAUUGGGGGCAUUAGUAUUCAGACGACAGAGGUGAAAUUCUUGGACCGUCUGAAGACUGACUACUGCGAAAGCAUUUGCCAAGAGUGUUUUCAUUA